UUUCGAAUCUUUCACAAUGGGCGCAAGCCUGAUGGAGCAACGCCGCGUGGGGGAUGACGGCCUUCGGGUUGUAAACCCCUGUCACCAGGGAUAAAACGUAGCGGGUUAAUACCCCGGUGCCUGAUGUAACCUGGAGAGGAAGGAGUGGCUAACUCUGUGCCAGCAGCCGCGGUAAUACAGAGACUCCAAGCGUUAUUCGGAUUUACUGGGCGUAAAGGGUGCGCAGGCGGCUAGAUGUGUCGGGGGUGAAAUCCUGCAGCUUAACUGUAGAGGUGCCUCCGAAACUAUCUGGCUAGAGUAUCGGAGAGGGAAGCGGAAUUCCAGGUGUAGCAGUGAAAUGCGUAGAUAUCUGGAGGAACACCGAAGGCGAAGGCAGCUUCCUGGACGAUUACUGACGCUCAGGCACGAAAGCAUGGGGAGCGAAAGGGAUUAGAUACCCCCGUAGUCC
rnacentral:rRNA from 1 species